rnacentral:rRNA from 1 species
CUACGGGGGGCUGCAGUGGGGAAUAUUGCACAAUGGACGAAAGUCUGAUGCAGCAACGCCGCGUGGAGGAUGACACGUUUCGGUGCGUAAACUCCUUUUAUAUAGGAAGAUAAUGACGGUACUAUAUGAAUAAGCACCGGCUAACUCCGUGCCAGCAGCCGCGGUAAUACGGAGGGUGCAAGCGUUACUCGGAAUUACUGGGCGUAAAGAGCGUGUAGGCGGGUUUGUAAGUUGGAUGUGAAAUCCUAUGGCUCAACCAUAGAACUGCAUCCAAAACUGCUUACCUAGAAUAUGGGAGAGGUAGAUGGAAUUUCUGGUGUAGGGGUAAAAUCCGUAGAGAUCAGAAGGAAUACCGAUUGCGAAGGCGAUCUACUGGAACAUUAUUGACGCUGAGACGCGAAAGCAUGGGGAGCAAACAGGAUUAGAUACCCCUGUAGUC